UUUUUCAGAUCACGAGAUGGCAGCCAUGUCAGCACCUUUGAGCCUCUCAUCAGAUUAAGCAAGGCCACCCCGAUCCACCAUGCCUUCUCCCUUCUGCAAAUUCCCAGUGAAAAGAUUCUGCAAAGCAUUCGCCAGGGCACUUUGUGAAGCUGCUUGAAGCACCGAGGUCUACACGGGGACUUCACUGUAUCAAUUGAAGAUACUUUCACUGAAAUUUCAGCUCAGUUUCCAGCAAAUCCCAGCAGAAAUCUCUUCUGCAUCUACAUAAGCAAACUGCAAUCAGGAACAUAGGAAGGUUCUCAAGGCAGGUUCAUCAAGCUUUGGAUUGGGCUUAUUGCUUCAAGUAGCAGGUUUGGGUAAAAUUGUAAAUGUUUCAUAAUGUCCUAUAUACUUUUGCUCUCUCUCCAACCCCCUUUUCUCUGCAUACACACAAAACCAACAAAUUUACUUAACAAUAAGUGAGUAAGUAAAAUGUAGUUAUUUGUCAUCUGUCUUUCUAAAUGGCUGUGUAAGAUAAAGAAUUGAACACAAUUCACAUCAUCAAAAUUUCAAUAUAGCUUUCUGAAAUAAUGAAGAGUUAAAUGACAGAUGAAUAUCCAAAGAGGCAUUGUAAUAAGUGUUUGUGUAUAGCUAGAUAGAUAUAUAGCUAUAGAUUAAGCUACAUACACACAAACACAUGUAACAUAUACAUAUAUGUGGGUACUGUAUGUGUGUAGUUUUCCCAAGGAAUGAACCUCAACAGAUCAAUGAUAGUUAUUUUUUUCUCUUUUUUUAAGUCCUCAGAUUGCCCAUCAGCUUUGACUUCAGCAAUGAACAUUUUUCCACACUGACUCAGAUUUGCCCCCCAGUGAUUAAUUAACUAAUGCUAUAGUUGAUUAAUCUACUGAUUAAAGCAUACAGCCCUAAUCAUAAAACAGCAAGAACAUUUUUGUUACUGAAGCUCUGCACUCCAUUUCAACCGUUCAGUGUCGGAGUCAGUUCAGAUAAUAGAGGAAGGGGGCCUUGAUUUAAAAGGCAAGACACCAGCUACAGUGGAAGGGGGAAAGAAGUAACCCAAUUAUCCAGUUGAUUUGAAAUGCUUAAGUAAAAAUGCUGAUGACAUAGCAUUUCAUGCUAAGGAGAUUUAGCCUGCACCUGGAUCGAUAUUGUUGUCCCUUUUCAUUCUGGUUAUAGCUUUUUUCUCUCCCCAAAUUUUCCCUACAUUGUUCUUGAAAGAUCUGUUACCCUUACUAAAACUGCAUGAUUAAUUUUUUUUUUAAAAAAAAGAAAGGUGUAUAUGAUCUAAAGAGAAACCAGUGUGUAUGUGUGGUGUGUGUAUGUGUAUAUGUGUGUAUGUACACACACACACGCACACACAUAUAUAUAAAGUUUUGUCACUGGUCCAGGGAUCUGGAUGCAUGGCAGAACCCAUGUGGUGAUUGUAUUCAUUUGUCAUAGUUGAUUUUGUUUUUAUCUUGGCUAUGGAUUAUAUGUGUUCUUGUUUUAUUUUUUUAACCUACUUAUAUAUAGUUUUACUUGCUGUUAGCCAACCAGAGUCAUGAAUCUGAAAUGGACAGCCAUACAAAUUAAGAUGAGAAAUAAAUGAAUUAUGCAGUUGUAA